rnacentral:rRNA from 1 species
CAUGGAGCUGAAAUCAGUCGAAGAUACCAGCUGGCUGCAACUGUUUAUUAAAAACACAGCACUGUGCAAACACGAAAGUGGACGUAUACGGUGUGACGCCUGCCCGGUGCCGGAAGGUUAAUUGAUGGGGUUAGCGGCAACGCGAAGCUCUUGAUCGAAGCCCCGGUAAACGGCGGCCGUAACUAUAACGGUCCUAAGGUAGCGAAAUUCCUUGUCGGGUAAGUUCCGACCUGCACGAAUGGCGUAAUGAUGGCCAGGCUGUCUCCACCCGAGACUCAGUGAAAUUGAACUCGCUGUGAAGAUGCAGUGUACCCGCGGCAAGACGGAAAGACCCCGUGAACCUUUACUAUAGCUUGACACUGAACACUGGUCCUUGAUGUGUAGGAUAGGUGGGAGGCUUUGAAGUGUGGACGCCAGUUCGCAUGGAGCCAACCUUGAAAUACCACCCUUUAAUGGCUGGUGUUCUAACGUAGACCCGUAAUCCGGGUUGCGGACAGUGUCUGGUGGGUAGUUUGACUGGGGCGGUCUCCUCCUAAAGAGUAACGGAGGAGCACGAAGGUUAGCUAAUCCUGGUCGGACAUCAGGAGGUUAGUGCAAAGGCAUAAGCUAGCUUGACUGCGAGAGUGACGGCUCGAGCAGGUGCGAAAGCAGGUCUUAGUGAUCCGGUGGUUCUGUAUGGAAGGGCCAUCGCUCAACGGAUAAAAGGUACUCCGGGGAUAACAGGCUGAUACCGCCCAAGAGUUCAUAUCGACGGCGGUGUUUGGCACCUCGAUGUCGGCUCAUCACAUCCUGGGGCUGAAGUAGGUCCCAAGGGUAUGGCUGUUCGCCAUUUAAAGUGGUACGCGAGCUGGGUUUAGAACGUCGUGAGACAGUUCGGUCCCUAUCUGCCGUGGGCGCUGGAGAAUUGAGGGGGGCUGCUCCUAGUACGAGAGGACCGGAGUGGACGCAUCACUGGUGUUCGGGUUGUCAUGCCAAUGGCAUUGCCCGGUAGCUAAAUGCGGAAAAGAUAAGUGCUGAAAGCAUCUAAGCACGAAACUUGCCCCAAGAUGAGUUCUCCCUGACUCUUUAAGAGUCCUGAAGGAACGUUGAAGACGACGACGUUGAUAGGCUGGGUGUGUAAGUGUAGCGAUACAUUGAGCUAACCAGUACUAAUGAACCGUGAGGCUUAACCUUACAACGCCGAAG